rnacentral:sRNA from 1 species
CUGUCCGGCCCGCAGGGCGGUCGAGGUGGGAACGGAGCAGCCCCGGGGGCCCCCUUGAGGCGUUGAGGCCGCGAAGGGCGCGGGGCUGGAGGGUAGGAGAGCGCGGGAAAGCGCCCCAGACGCCACUCGCGGCGGACGGCGGCCAGUUCCCAGGGGUUUGGAUCCGGGUGCGCAGGCGUGGGGCCUCCGGGCAGGGGGCGGGCCCUUAACAGGCACCGCUGCGGGGACUGGAGUCGGCGGAGAAAACCGGGGUCCCCAGCGCUGGGGGUGGGUGAGGGUCGCUCAUUUUCCCGGGACGGUGACGGGUACUGGGCGUCGCCAGGCCCCGGCCCCGCUAGAGCCACCCUUGGAGCCCGCCCGCGGCCGGCCUUGGGGGCUUCGGCUCAAGCGCGUCUUCUCCGUCGCCAGCCCGCGGCGCCAUGGCUCACGUCGGCUCCCGCAAGCGCUCGAGGAGUCGCAGCCGGUCCCGGGGACGGGGGUCGGAAAAGAGAAAGAAGAAGAGCAGGAAGGACGCCUCGAGGAACUGCUCGGCCUCCACAUCCCAAGAGAGAAGCAAGCAGAAGGCCCGGAGGAGACCAAGAUCCAGCUCCUCCUCCUCUUCUUCCAGUUCUCCUAGCUCCUCUUCUUCCUCCUCGUCCUCCUCCUCUUCCUCCAGUGAUGGCCGGAAGAAGCGGGGGAAGUAUAAGGACAAGAGGAGGAAGAAGAAGAAGAAGAGGAAGAAGCUGAAGAAGAAGAGCAAGGAGAAGGCGGAAGCACAGCAGGUGGAGGCUCUGCCGGGCCCCUCGCUGGACCAGUGGCACCGAUCAGCUGGGGAGGAAGAGGAUGGCCCAGGUAUUGUGCUGCCCAGCACCUGGGAGGGAGAAGGUCGCUUCCCAAGGCCUGGCCACCACCUCCGUCUUCCCUUCCAGUCCUGACGGAUGAGCAGAAGUCCCGAAUCCAGGCCAUGAAGCCCAUGACCAAGGAGGAGUGGGAUGCCCGGCAGAGCAUCAUCCGCAAGGUGGUGGACCCCGAGACGGGGCGCACCAGGCUUAUUAAGGGAGAUGGCGAGGUCCUAGAGGAAAUCGUAACCAAAGAACGACACAGAGAGAUCAACAAGCAAGCCACCCGAGGGGACGGCCUGGCCUUCCAGAUGCGAGCUGGGUUGCUUCCCUGAGGGCCCCCGCUGGCCAAGGCCUGUGGACGGCGCUGGCGGCCCAGCCUGGGCAGGUUUCAGGGUGCCAGUGGGAAGCCUGAUGGGUGCUGGUGGCCUUUCCCCCAUGGAUUGGUCUCUGGCCCAGCCCAGUCUCUUCUUAGGGGCAGGGGGUGGAGGUUGGGGUCACCGGCCUGCUUGGCACCCCCAUCUGAAAGAGC